AAAGGAUUGCCCUAGUACGGCGAGUGAAGCGGCAACAGCUCAAAUUUGAAAGCUAGCCUUCGGGUUCGCAUUGUAAUUUGUAGAGGAUGAUUUGGGGAAGCCGCCUGUCUAAGUUCCUUGGAACAGGACGUCAUAGAGGGUGAGAAUCCCGUAUGUGACAGGAAAUGGCACCCUAUGUAAAUCUCCUUCGACGAGUCGAGUUGUUUGGGAAUGCAGCUCUAAAUGGGAGGUAAAUUUCUUCUAAAGCUAAAUAUUGGCGAGAGACCGAUAGCGCACAAGUAGAGUGAUCGAAAGAUGAAAAGCACUUUGGAAAGAGAGUUAAAAAGCACGUGAAAUUGUUGAAAGGGAAGCGCUUGCAAUCAGACUUGUUUAAACUGUUCGGCCGGUCUUCUGACCGGUUUACUCAGUUUGGACAGGCCAGCAUCAGUUUCGGCGGCCGGAUAAAGGCUCUGGGAAUGUGGCCUCCACUUCGGUGGAGGUGUUAUAGCCCAGGGUGUAAUACGGCCAGCCGGGACUGAGGUCCGCGCUUCGGCUAGGAUGCUGGCGUAAUGGUUGUAAGCGACCCGUCUUGAAACACGGACCAA
rnacentral:rRNA from 1 species